rnacentral:rRNA from 1 species
UAAGCAUAUCAAUAAGCGGAGGAAAAGAAACCAACAGGGAUUGCCCUAGUAACGGCGAGUGAAGCGGCAACAGCUCAAAUUUGAAAUCUGGCGUCUUUGGCGUCCGAGUUGUAAUUUGCAGAGGGCGCUUUGGCAUUGGCAGCGGUCCAAGUUCCUUGGAACAGGACGUCACAGAGGGUGAGAAUCCCGUACGUGGUCGCUAGCCUUUACCGUGUAAAGCCCCUUCGACGAGUCGAGUUGUUUGGGAAUGCAGCUCUAAAUGGGAGGUAAAUUUCUUCUAAAGCUAAAUACUGGCCAGAGACCGAUAGCGCACAAGUAGAGUGAUCGAAAGAUGAAAAGCACUUUGGAAAGAGAGUUAAAAAGCACGUGAAAUUGUUGAAAGGGAAGCGCUUGCAGCCAGACUUGCCUGUAGUUGCUCAUCCGGGUUUCUACCCGGUGCACUCUUCUAUAGGCAGGCCAGCAUCAGUUUGGGCGGUUGGAUAAAGGUCUCUGUCAUGUACCUCCUUUCGGGGAGAACUUAUAGGGGAGACGACAUGCAACCAGCCUGGACUGAGGUCCGCGCAUCUGCUAGGAUGCUGGCGUAAUGGCUGUAAGCGGCCCGUCUUGAAACACGGACCAAGGAGUCUAACAUCUAUGCGAGUGUUUGGGUGUCAAGCCCGAGCGCGUAAUGAAAGUGAACGGAGGUGGGAACCUUUCGGGGUGCACCAUCGACCGAUCCUGAUGUCUUCGGAUGGAUUUGAGUAAGAGCAUAGCUGUUGGGACCCGAAAGAUGGUGAACUAUGCUUGAAUAGGGUGAAGCCAGAGGAAACUCUGGUGGAGGCUCGCAGCGGUUCUGACGUGCAAAUCGAUCGUCAAAUUUGGGCAUAGGGGCGAAAGACUAAUCGAACUAUCUAGUAGCUGGUUCCUGCCGAA